rnacentral:rRNA from 1 species
GAUGAACGCUGGCGGCGUGCCUAAUACAUGCAAGUCGAGCGAACAGAUGAGGAGCUUGCUCCUCUGACGUUAGCGGCGGACGGGUGAGUAACACGUGGAUAACCUACCUAUAAGACUGGGAUAACUUCGGGAAACCGGAGCUAAUACCGGAUAAUAUAUUGAACCGCAUGGUUCAAUAGUGAAAGACGGUUUUGCUGUCACUUAUAGAUGGAUCCGCGCUGCAUUAGCUAGUUGGUAAGGUAACGGCUUACCAAGGCAACGAUGCGUAGCCGACCUGAGAGGGUGAUCGGCCACACUGGAACUGAGACACGGUCCAGACUCCUACGGGAGGCAGCAGUAGGGAAUCUUCCGCAAUGGGCGAAAGCCUGACGGAGCAACGCCGCGUGAGUGAUGAAGGUCUUCGGAUCGUAAAACUCUGUUAUUAGGGAAGAACAUAUGUGUAAGUAACUGUGCACAUCUUGACGGUACCUAAUCAGAAAGCCACGGCUAACUACGUG